GCAGUCCUCCAUGCAUUCUUCAUUCAUCAUCAAGUCUAAAAAAUGAACUUCAUAUGCUUAAUUCCAUAAGUUUUGAAGAAAACCAUGAUAAUAAGUGCCCAUAAUCCCAGAAUAAAGCCCCCAGGAGGAUGCCAGUCUUUCAGCUUCGGUUUCUGGUGUAUUAUCUGAGCUACAGGAAGUUGUUCAGCAUAUUUCAGAGGUUCCAUUAGUUUCUCAUCCAUCUGGUCUUC
rnacentral:lncRNA from 1 species